ensembl:lncRNA
UUUUUUUUUUUUUUUUGGUUAAUUCUUUUUUUCAAUAAUUUUUAUUUUUUUUUCCAUUAUAGCUGGUUGGUUUUUUUGUUUUUUGUUUUUAAUGGCACACAAUGAGAUAGAGAGAUGGGAAAGAUGAAAGGGAGGUUAGUGCAAGUGUUGGAUGGGAUAAAGAUCUUAAAUAAGUCAAGUCAGAGUUCCUAAAAAGAGAAGAGAAAGAAGAAGGAGAGGAAGUAUUUGAAAAGAUAACUGGACUUCUCAGAAUUGAAGAAAUACUCAGAUAUAGUAAGCACAAUACAUAUAAAAGCAGGAUAAGUUAAAAAAAAAUAACCAGAGCCAUUAGAGUAAAACCAUACAUCAAAGACAAAGACUUUAAAGAAGCCUGAGAGAUUUUUUUUAAUUAUCAUUUAUUAAGAGAUGACAGUUAGAUCUCAUCAGCAAUGUUGGAAGUCAGGAUACAGGGAUUAUUACAUCUUUUGAACGAUGAGACGAAAUAACUGUCACCUUUGAAUUAUGAAUCCUGACAAACUUUUAAGAAUGAAGGUCAAAAUACAAGUAUUUUCAGAUGAAUAAAAACUAAAGCUAUUUGUACCAUAAGAUAUUUACUGAAGGAAACACUGAAGGAUGUACUUUAAAAAGAAAGAAAACAAUUUUAAAAAAGAAAAGUCUACAAUAGAAGAAUGAUUAGCAAGAAAGAUGGUAGACAUAAUUAUUCUAACAAAACUCAAUUACUUAAAAUAUAAAGAUUAAAUUGUUGGACUAAAAAGAUAAAUGAGAACUGCAUAUUGAUCAAUAAUAGCUUAUAAGCUCAAAAUAGGGUAAUAUAACUUGUUGGGUUUUUAUAUUAUAUGGAAAGAGGGUUAAGGCACUGAGUUGACACAAGUUUUAUUAAUUUAAGAAUGCCUGGAAAAAAGAAAAUUUAGCCAGUGGAAAAAUAAUGCUAGCUUCCAAUCUGAUAGAGGGUAUAAGUAGAAUAAGUGGGAAAAAGAAUUAAACAGUUAUGUAAUUCUCUGAUAACAAGACUAUGUGUUGAAAACCCCCAAAAAAUCUACAUAUACUUUAAUAGAAUUAAGAGAUUAUAUCAAUAGUAAUUGAAUAAAGACAUCACUAUCUAUACGGAAAAUAAUUGCAAAUGGGUCUCUAUCCCAAAUCAUUCACACACACACAUACAUACACACACACACACACACACACAGUAGCUUUAAGACUUAUAUGUAGAAAGCAAAAUUUCACAAAAUUUUUGGAUGAGAACAUACGAAUGUCUUUAUAACCUCGGGGAAAAGAAGGAUUUUUUAAAAAAAUAAGAUUACAAAACAUAAACCAUAAAAAUAUGAUGGAUAAACACAAAUAAAUUAAAACUCCCAAUUUCUGUUCAUAGUUAGGAUACCACAGAACAAAAUGAUGACAUGACAUGUUUAAACUGUGAGGAAUUAUUUCAAUACAAAAAACUAAUAAAAAAAGUACUGUUUACACAGUAUAUAAUGAAUUAGAAAUCAAUUAAAAAAGACAAACAGGUCAAAUACAAAAGGGCAAUGGAUAUUUGAAAAUGACCUCAUUAAUAAUCAAAAAGUGCAAAUUAAAACCAUGAGAUGCUAUUUAUACACAUCAGACUGACACAAAAUCAGAAGUCAAAAAGCUGGUGUUAACAAGGACAGGGAACAAGAAGCUCUCUUUUAAACUGCGGGUGAAAUUAUAAAUUGUAAAUUGGUACUAUUGCUAAGUAACUGAACAUUAUCUUGUCCAGUUGAAUAAUACAUAUGCCAUAUAACUCCAGAAAACCUCUUCCAGAAUCAUCACGGCAAGAUAUUUCCAUUAGCAACAAACAUGAAGGACCCACCAAGAGUAGAAUGGAUAAAUAACUUGCAGUACAUUUAUACAGUGGGAUGCUACACAACAGUGAGCCAGGAUGAAUAAAAAUAUACACGGUGUGUUCCAAUCCAUAUAAUCAAACAAUGAUUUCUUACGCAGGGAAACAUACACAGGCAGUCAAACCAAUGGAAAGCCAAAGGAUAAUAAGCACCACGUGAGGGGAGGAGGAAAGAUGCGGUUGGAGAAAGACUACUGGGCUCCAACGGCAGUGAGAAUGCUCUCAAGCUUCCCUGUGCACACCCAGAUGCUCCCCUUCAUUCAUGUCUGUACCACAUAUAUGUACAAACGAUACAGAAAACAACAUAUUUUUUACUUUGUGUAUAUGAAAUAUUUCAGACAGCAUUUCUGUGAAUCAAUGAACCAUGAGACAUGAACACACUGCUUCGUGGUUAAAGGGCUGACUGUAAGGAGAAGAGCCGGUUUCCAGUCAUGACCCUGACAUGGCCUAGUGAUUAGUGAUGUGAUUCUGGGUAAGUCACUGAUCAGCCUCUGUUUCUCACAAAAUGGGGAUAAUAAUUCAUCUUGAAGUUAUGAUAGGAAUAAAAGCGUAAAACACACACACACACACACACACACAGGUAUUCUAGAAAUGGUAAUAAGCCAUAAACUAUCAUAAAGACCCUAAAACAUACGUAGGAAAUAAUUUUUCGUCAAGAAAUUUGGUUUGCCCAGUUCAAGAUAUUUUGUCUGUCAACUGCAUCUUUUUAUAGUUGACCCAAUGCCUCAUUUUUUCAAAAACUUAUCAAGCAUCACAACUAUCUUAAUACUUACCCACACCAAGUUCAGGGGUGAGCCACUGGGUUCUCAGACCCAGCUCCCUGAAUUUCUGUAAACAGAACCUUUGGCAUCCCUUCCUCCCUAGCCUGCAGUUAGCCACCUUCUUAAAGGGCCAAGCUCCAGCCAGCUGAGGGGUGGGCUUGACAAGCCAGAGGAGCUGUGAGCAAACCCCAGGCCAUUUCAGUCCCUAAGUAACAAACCUGGUUUCCCAGUGUUAACCCUCUGAGUGACUUUCCAGAGCACUCUGUCAUAGAUUCCAGAGCUCAUUAAAGGAACACUAAAGACGAAGACAGAAAACGGGAAAAUCCCAAUAGAAGACUGUGGAGGUUGGUGGAAAAGUGCCAUCUGUUCUCCCCGUCCCAGCACCUGCUGCCCUGGUAACGCCAGGGUCCCCACUUCCAUCUGGUUACUGGAGAUCUUACACUCUUCCUUCUAAUGCAGCCCUUAGGUACCCCCACUGACCGCCUCUCCUAAAGUCUGUGAAUUAAGGGGGGCUUGCUGACACCCCCCCUCUGUCUCAGGUUCCCAGUCAAGCCGAUCACAUUUCUCUAGCCAAGGAGACAGCAAAAGACACGCCAAGGAUAGCACCACCAGGUAUAACAAUAAAAAUUAGCAUCAAAAGUCACCCAGGAUCUCCACUCCUCUUUGAGGUGGGCUAGAGCAAAGCCCACCGUGGUUUUUUUAGAACUUUCUUUGCCCCUCACUCACAAGCCCGCCUCCUAAACACCUCCAUGCAGGAGAACUCUCCAGAGCAAAGUCCUGCCAGCAGCCCCGCAUGGCUUUGUCUUCUGAGCAUGUCCUCACUGGAGUAGGAGGGCCUUAUAAUUCCUACUAGCUGCAAUCCAAGCUGCAGUACCUGAGUAGCAAUAAGGACUAAAAGAGGCUCCUUAUCUUGUCACAGCAUGUCAGCCUGAAAGGCCAACACUCAGACAUGAAGACACUGCUUGGAAACAUGAUUUCUUAUUGACCUCUGAAGCUCGGUAAUCAAUCUUUAAAUACUAUGUAUUUAUUUAUUUGGCCAUGCUCAAAGCAUAUGGAAGUUUCCAGACCAGGGAUCGAGUACGAAAAUAAGUAAAUUCUGGCGACCAGGGAUAAUACAACGAUGAGAUGAAUUAGUCUAAACAGUCUCGUAGACAAAGUUUGAAAGGAUCUCUUACAAGUAGGUUUAUUUAUGCUUUUCCUAUGGAACUGAACACAGCACCUGGCUCAGAGUAGGAACUCUCUAUUAUAUGCACUGAAUGAAUGAGACCAGGAUGGAGAACCUCUGGAGAGGGGAUUGCGGAUAGGAUCUUCACACCUGGAAACACCUGCCCAAAACAUGGCCAUCUGGAGCACUAUGAGAAGGUGCUGGAACCCUUUCAGAAGUAAAAAGGCGGUAUCUCAGAGAGCCCGAGUCAGUAGGAGUAAGGUGACUGGUCCCCAAGGAGGAAGCUGCUGCAGUGGGCUGCUGUUGGCAGAAAGCAGAUUGCAGUGGGUUAGUUAGCCGCAAUGGGUUAGUUAGACACAGUGGAUUUGUUAGCUGCAGUGGGUUAGUUAGCCACAGUGUCCAGCUCGGUCCCCCUGAAGACCUGUACAAGGUCUCCAGAAUACAGCAAUGAAUUACUUGAGGGGUACAGUUUGUGGCUGCUUGUUGUGAGGACAGCAUGAAAUAAUAGAUGUAGAAGUGAUUUGCAGAGUUAAAAGUGAGCUAUGGUUAACCCAGUUAGACAAGGAAACUUUUUUUUUUUUUUGAAACAUCUUCUUUGUAAGCACACACCUGAGGGCAAAGUGUUAAUCUGCUCAUCAAAUUCUCAUUCAGCAUCUAUUAUCCACCAGACAUGAGGCUGGAUGCUAAGUAUACUAUAACAUUUUAAUGUUAUGUGUAAUGCUCCUAACAGUACGCUACUUUACAGUUUGUAAAAUACCUUCAUACAGCCUGUUGAGAGAGUAACCCAGUCUUUGCGAAACAUUUGGCCCCCAAAGCCAUUUAGACUCCUUUAAUUCAACCCGUCAAAUUACAAAUUAGAAUUAACCUACUUAUUUCCUUUAGCAUGAUUAAAGGCAAAAAAACCCCACAUGAUUAAUGUAUCUAUGUAUGUAUGUAUGUAGCAUAAUUAAAGUAAAAAAAGGGGGGGGAAACCUUUGUUUAGGGAGAACAUCUAUCUAGAAUGGCAAAGUGGUAUUAUUAUCAAAUGAGAGACAAAGCAAACCAGAUGAGGAACAGAAAAGCAAAAUCUGAUAAGAAACAGUCUGUUAAACCCAAGCACAAGAGCAUAGGACACAAUACUACAAGAGACUGAACAAUUACAAGCUGAAUAAAAUUCAGUAGAAAGUGACUGGGAACAAGAAUCAGGAGUCUCAGGUUUGGGUACCAACUCUGCCUGUUUGUGUGGCUGUGGGAAUUGUUUUUUUCCGAUCAUUCAGACAGAGUCUUAUCCAGCGGCACUGGAUAAAGAGCAGCUUGCUAAACUGGACAAUAUAAAGACAUAUAAGAUACCAUUCCGGUACUCAAGUAAAUCCAAUCUCCCCAGGAUACAGAGAGGUAAAACAAUAAAAACGGCAUAUGCUAUAAAUGGGAUAUGGACAGGAUAAAGAAGAGCGAGGCUUCACUUCUAUGGGAAGAACUAGGGAAGGUGUCCAGGGAAGAGGACGUGUUUUGGAGGAUAAGUAGAGAAUAAAUAACACCAGCCACUGUGAAAACGCAGGCUGAAUGGUGGCUUUCGCUAGCAGGGAUAAUGAGGGUUCAGGAUGGGCAUCCUGAAACUGGGAUGCUGGGGAGCACUGGAUGGGGAGGUCUUGCCCUCCUUGGUCCUUCAGGAUCCUCGUCCAUUAUGAGGAGAACUGACUUGGCUUUCCUUCUAGUUAGAGCAUCUUUAACAGUCAGUUCUUGUCUUAAGGUCCUUGAUAUACUUAAGACUAUUGUGCAAUCUGCCGGGGUUGACUAAUGACUGGUCCCAGGGAGCCUUUGUGUCAGAGCCUGACCAGGUAAGGAGGUAAUCCAGAGAGCAAGAGUGUGAGGUAACUGCUCUGCGGUAAUGGAGUAGUUAUUCAUGCUGCUCGCAUAAUAUUUUUGGCUCUCUGCCUUCUCAGCCCCUGAGGCUGGAUAUGACCACACAGCCAGGUCUGGAACAUACGUUUGAGGACAAACACAUCACAGGUAGGGUAAAAACCUCCAGAGCUCUCUUUCCCCUGGUGUGAGGAAGCACAGUAGGCAGGGGAAGUAGGUGGGGAUGAGGUCAGAGAAUGGCUGCAUUAGCCCAGGAUGCAGAGGAGGCAAAUGCAAGCCCCCAGCCCACGGAGUGAUGGGCAUGGACCCGAACAAAAGAUAAAGCAACCCUGUGAGGCAGGUAUGAUCUUUUUGACAGACUGGAAAAUGGAGACUCAAUGAGAUUAAAUAACUUACUCACAGCUAGUAGGCGGUAGACCAGGAUUCAAGUUCUUGUCUGGCUCUGUUCAAAUACAACCCCGUUCCCCCAAGCAGCUGAUGUGCUUUACUUCAUUCUGUGGGUCGGAGGAAAUUCUCAAAGGUUUUUACAGAAGGGCGCAACAUGAUGAGAUCUAUUUUUAGGAAAAUCGCUAUGUUUCUGCCAAAGACUAAAGAUGAGGAAGAGAUGCUAUUUGGUAGCCUAUGGCAGGAAUCUGGGCCUCAGAUGACCAAGGGCCUUGGCAAUGGAACGGAGGAUGGACAGGCCAACAGACAUGGCACAGAAUAAAAAGGAAUGUGUAGACUAGAUAAGGAAGAGCCAGAAAUUUCAAAGGCUGCCACGAUGGCUAAAUGGGUAUGUUAGCAGAGAGAGGAGCUAGGGUUUUGGUACUGGAAGUUCAUUUGGUUUGCAGUAUGAUGAGCUUCAAGUAAUUCAUUCGCACAAUUGGGAAUAUGGUUUUGAAGCUCAGGAGAGAGGCAAAAGGUGGGGACAUGGAUGCAAGGUCAGAAGGAUAUAGAAAGGGGAUGACUGUGGGUGUAAAUGGACUUCCCAGGAAGGGCAGGGC